rnacentral:rRNA from 1 species
GAGUUUGAUCCCUGCUCAGGACGAACGCUGGCGGCGUGCCUAAUACAUGCAAGUCGAGCGCAGGAAGCUGUCUGAACCCUUCGGGGGGACGACAGUGGAAUGAGCGGCGGACGGGUGAGUAACACGUAAAGAACCUGCCCACGGGUCUGGGAUAACCACGAGAAAUCGGGGCUAAUACCGGACGGGUCAUCGGACCGCAUGGUCCGAGGAUGAAAGGCGCUUCGGCGUCGCCCGUGGAUGGCUUUGCGGUGCAUUAGCUAGUUGGUGGGGUAAAGGCUCACCAAGGCGACGAUGCAUAGCCGACCUGAGAGGGUGAUCGGCCACACUGGGACUGAGACACGGCCCAGACUCCUACGGGAGGCAGCAGUAGGGAAUCUUCCACAAUGGACGAAAGUCUGAUGGAGCAACGCCGCGUGAACGAUGAAGGCCUUCGGGUCGUAAAGUUCUGUUGUAAGGGAAGAACAAGUGCCGCAGGCAAUGGCGGCACCUUGACGGUACCUUGCGAGAAAGCCACGGCUAACUACGUGCCAGCAGCCGCGGUA